UGGGAGAACAAGAGGCAGGCC
rnacentral:piRNA from 1 species